CGCCUCUUGACAAUAAUAAGAGGUCCUGCCUGCCCAGUGAUAAAUUCAACGGCCGCGGUAUCCUGACCGUGCAAAGGUAGCAUAAUCACUUGUUCCUUAAAUAGGGACUAGUAUCAACGGCACCACGAGGGUUGCACUGUCUCCCCCUUCCAAUCAGUGAAACUGAUCUCCCCGUGAAAAAGCGGGGAUAACUAUAUAAGACGAGAAGACCCCAUGGAGCUUUAAACCCAAUAGCAAUUUAGCAAAUACCCCUCUAAGCUACAAACUAUGCUAAAAGUUUUAGGUUGGGGUGACCACGGAGUAAAAAUUAACCUCCGUAACGAAAAGACUUAAUCUUUACCCAAGAGCUACUACUCUAAGAAUUAGAAAACUAACGUACUUUGACCCGAUCAUCGAUCAAUGAACCAAGUUACCCUGGGGAUAACAGCGCAAUCUACUUUGAGAGUCCAUAUCGACAAGUAGGCUUACGACCUCGAUGUUGGAUCAGGGUAUCCCAGUGGUGCAGCCGCUACUAAAGGUUCGUUUGUUCAACGAUUAUAACCCU
rnacentral:rRNA from 1 species